CUCCUGCAUGUGACGGACACAGCACUGAUCCUGGCAGCUCCUUACCCCCAGCAGCCCGAAACUCACUCCUUAAUUACACAAGGGAAACCUUUUACCUCCGCAGCCAGAGUCUGGGGGGAAAGGCAGGCGUGGGAAGAUGGGUUCUCUACCUGGCCAGUGCCAUGUUGCCUGUUUCUUUACUGUAACUGUGGUGACAAAGAAAAGGGAAGAUGGAGCCUCCAUGUUGAACAUACCUGGCCCCCAGCACUAACUCCCUCUCUGGAUAUCUGGAACAAGGAGGACCUUAAACUUAACAAUAAAGCCAAUGAUGGUUCUACCAGUCUCCCCAAAGCCUCAAGUUUAAAAGCCAUAUGAACUGGCUGAUAGUGGAAAAUGGAAGCCAUGAGGAAAUCAGAUUAGAGUACUACCUGGUGAAGCCUGGAGGACCUACCAAGAAAAGCAAACUUGGAUCUUUGCAAGGUUAGAAGAACGAAUGGGAUCCAAGAAAAAGACUGGUCAUAUUCAACGGCUAAGAGCGUUGGAGAAGGCCUGUGGAGUCUCAGCAGGUCAGGUCCAUGACUCAUGAGUAGACACCUGUGUUUCUACUGCCUGGUGCCAUAAUCAUAAACAAGGAAGAAACUGAGGACAGGAGGGGCCAAACAAGUUACAGUUUCAUCCCUCCAGAGAGCCAACAGAGUAUUUUGCACGAAGUUGAAGCUAAACAGAGUAAUCAGCAAAUGCCUUUCCUUUCUCCUGCUGAUGUUUUGCCCGUACUCAGACCCCUUGACUUCUUAGCUUCUACCCAAAGUGAGCUUGUCAUCAAAGUUCUCCAAAAAUCUGCAGUGUUCUCUUGAGCAAAUCUGCUUCCAAGACUAUAGCGCUCUGAUGCAUUGAGAUGACAGCAAGCGGCAUUUUUCAGUCCUGUUACCCAUAUGGCUGCUACCACUGCAUCCUGUUAAAUAAUGUCUUCAACCCAAGAAACCUGCUUCCUAGGGAAGUUUCUCUCUCUCUGCAUUUGUUCCCACUAGAGAAUGACCAUCACCAGAUUCCUGAACUGAAAAUGCUGUUGACACUUUGGAAACUCGGGCCUCUAUUAAUAGGGUGACCAACUAUCCUGGUUUACCUUGAGUACAGGAUUUUCAAUGCUAAAACCAGAAAAACCAGGAUGGUUGGUCAUCUGCCUCAGACCUAAUAAAUACCAGUCAAUAAUUCAGCCAUGA
rnacentral:lncRNA from 1 species